UAGGGAAUCUCCACAAUGGGCGAAAGCCUGAUGGAGCAACGCCGCGUGUGUGAUGAAGGGUUUCGGCUCGUAAAACACUGUUGUAAGAGAAGAAUGACAUUGAGAGUAACUGUUCAAUGUGUGACGGUAUCUUACCAGAAAGGAACGGCUAAAUACGUGUCAG
rnacentral:rRNA from 1 species